UAUAUAGGAGCCUGAGAGUGAUGAUCUUGU
rnacentral:piRNA from 1 species